AAGAAAAGAAAAGAAAAACAGAAAAAAAUAGAGAAUGGGAAAACAAAAAAAUAGUUGGUAGGUAAAACCAAGAGAGUGAAAGAUGUAUGGAAAGAAAGUUAUACCAAAUGAAAGAUUCCUAGCUAGAGGUAGCUGCACUUUGAGGUAUACGUGAAAGCAAAAGCCUAAAAAAAAAAAGAAAGAAAAAUCCAGUGCAGGGGGCAGCUAGGUGGUGCAGUGUAUAGAGUACCGGCCCUGGAUUCAGGAAGACCUGAGUUCAAAUCCGGCCUCAAACACUUAACACUUACUAGCUGUGUGACCCAGGGCAAGUCACUUAACCCCAAUUGCCUCACCAAAACAAAAAAAAAAGAAAGAAAGCUAACCUCUGAGUGAUAGGUAAAUGGGUAUACCCAGAAAGUGACAGAAAGGGAGAGGGUGAGGGUGGAUGAUUCACAGACACUAGCGAAAGGUUGAAUGUACAGACCCAGAAUAUGAGAGGGGAUGGAAUAAUUCAAUCUAGAUAGUAGAAAAUGAAUGGCUGGCCAUGAGCUAUGAGAAUUGGCAAGGCAGAGCUGAAUGAGUAUUUAUACCUAAGCAAAGAAGAAAAAAGGGCGAGGGACAAAUGGAAGAGAAAACUAGAUAGUAAGACACAAAUGAAUGGAGAAACUGGCAAAAGGAGAGAAUGGAUGCUUAGUCAUCAAUAAAGUGAGGGAUGCCUGGAAAGAAAGUGAGAGAUUCCUGGCUGGAGGGAACCAGCACGGUGAGUAUAUGUGAAAGAAGUUCUAUCAGGAAAGGUCAAAAACCACAGAGAGCCAGCAAAAGUCAAUAAAGGAGAUUUUGAGAAUUAGAUCCUGACACUGAGAGCAAGUGAAAGGACAAAUCUACAAAGUGAGGUUUAGAUGCUUAGAAAGACAAUGUACCAAGUCAGAAUUACAGGCUUAGAAAAAGUUACACUCAAAGUGGUCAGUGAUAUAGGAAUAGAAGGAUUAAUGGAGAGCCUUAGAUAGGGACUGAUGGAUUAUUUAGAGGGACAAAUGGGAGUUAGGUGUGGAUACCAGGAAGGAGGUACAUGGGCUGAAAGGACAGAUGGAAGGGAAGGGGAGAAUGAGAGUGGGAAGAAUAGAAGGCUCUGGGAGGGGAAGAAAGAUGGAGGGCCAGGAGUGACCCAAAUGGAGCCACACAGCAGAUGGACCAGACUGAUGGAUUCUGUGGAUCUACGGAUGGAAGAAUACAGGUCAUCAAACAGCAAUCCUGAGAGAUGAACCGUUACAGCCUUCGUGACUACCUCCUGAGUUCAGAAGAUCCAGAGACUUCAAACAAGAUGCUCGCUGUCCAGUGGGAAGUAUUUUUUUCAACUGGACCCUUUUUUGGAGAAGUGAAUGUACAUUGCGGAUGGAAUGGACCUUGUGCCCUUGAAGAGUCAGAAGAACUACCAGAGGCUUGGGAGCACAGCCCCAAGGAAGAAAAGGGAUCCAGCUCAGCUGCCAAGACGCCAGGUCCUACAAGCAAGAAAGCAAUUCUGUCCAUUGGCCAUAGCCAAUACUCUGAAUUUAACUUGGCAGGCAAAUGCAUUGUAGCAAGAACUUUAAAUGUGACCCCACUCUCCUCAGGGGCCAAGUGAUCCAAGGGAAUAUAUGCCCCUGGGCUUUGCGGGGGAGGAAUAUGUUUCUGUUCUAGCUGUAUCUUACUGAAUAGACCUUUAUAACAGCAAAUUGAUGUUAACUGGAUUGAAAUUGGGGAGAAUACACUGGAGUUGGGGCUCAAGCCAAAAGCAUUCGAAAAAGACACUCUCCAGCCUUUUGGGACUACUCACUCCUUGAACCCUGAGGGGACAUGUAUGAGCUGAGCCCAGGAAGCAAACAUCAGGAGGGUGGGCCUGCAUGUGCAAUUCCUCCCGUUGCUCUUUCCCCUGACCUUUGGAGGGGUGACCCCUCCAGCACCCCAGAGAGAAUGCCUGGGAGGGAAAGCGGGAGGAGGCAGUCUAAAUGUGAUUAGGGGUGAAGCAUCCCAUCUAGAAGCUCUGAAACCUUUUUCCUUAUUUAAUUUGUGCCAUUGUUUUGUAAAAUGUGGCUACUAUAUAUUGAUUGUGUCUUAUGAAUGAAAGGACUUAUCUAGACUGAGGGAAGAAAUUCCACAUGUGGGCUAGGAGUGUGGCCACAGGUUUUCACUAUUUUUUAAUAACUGAGCUCUAUUGCACCUCUAAUUUAAAUGAAGAAGCAGGCCAGCACCACACACCUCAAUGGGAAGGGAAGUAGUCUGAGCUUUUCCAGGCUGAACCCCUUCCUGUAGGGCUUAAGGAAGGCAGCCCAGGAACUGCAUGGACUAGGCACGAUUCCACAGUGCUCCAAGCAUUCUGCGCAGCCUUCAGCCAUAUGAUAAAGAGGCUGACAAUCAGGGGACAACUUAGCAAAACUGGGGGGGGGCAUUCAGUGAAAGCAGUCCUCAGAGAUAAAAUUCUCUCUCUGAAAACAUAGCAACACAAUGGAAAAAGCAAAUAAUAUUGAACUGAGAAUAAUCUAAUGCUAGAAGGUUGCAAUUUACUCACAGAAUGUAAAAAUAAAGUCUUCAUAUCCUCAAAGAUUAGAAUGUUACCAGUUUUAGAAUCUGAGCCACCAAAACUGAGAAUGGUGACUCUAUCAUCAGGGUGCCCCAGCCCCAGUGGAUAAGGACAAAAAAGAGUUCUACCCUGUAUAUCUUCACAUUUGACCUUAUACUUGGACCCAGGAAGUAUCUUGGAUGUGCCUGUAUGUACCUAGGUGAUGUGUAGAUGAAGCACUGGCCCUGAAGUCAGGAGAACCUGAGUUCAAAUCUCACCUCAGACCAUUACUAGCUGUGUGACCCUGGGCAAGUCACUUAACCCCAACUGCCUUAAACAUCUGGAGCCAUCUCC